rnacentral:lncRNA from 1 species
AUACUUCGAUGUAAGAGACUGGGAAAGAUUUGAACAUCAUAUCCUCCACUGAUGUCUUUUUAUCUGUUUGUGAUGACGGAAAGUGAGGGUUGAAAGUUGGGAGUGUAGUAGAAGCGACUGGCUCUCUAAAGAGCGUACUCAUUUCUUAUGCUGGGAAUGGUCAUUUGAUUGAGUCUCCUUGUGUUGGCUGACAGGGCUUUGAAAAGCACAGAAGCUUGGUGUUGCACCAGACAACCAGCUCUGUUUUAUUUCACAGGAAAAAAAAACAACAUAGUUGCUUGGUUACUCCAGGAGCUUAGAUAGGAUUUGUAGAACAGAAAUCUCAAUAGCAACAGUGGAUUGUAACCACUCCACAGCUUCCUCCUAUUGGGUGUUCAAAGAUGAACAGCUUCCGGAAACAUGUACAGACUUGUGGGGAGAUCUGAAAGACAAAAGAGGAAAAUAUCUUCUCUUCAUUUUUAAUGUCUGGAGGCCCCUCCCUGCAACAAGUGCCUAUGAGCUCCAGCAACUCUGCUUCCCCUUCACUUUGGGCCUUUCUGCUUGCCAUCUCCAGACUACGCGU